rnacentral:rRNA from 1 species
UACGUAGGUGGCAAGCGUUGUCCGGAAUUAUUGGGCGUAAAGCGCGCGCAGGUGGUUUCUUAAGUCUGAUGUGAAGGCCCACGGCUCAACCGUGGAGGGUCAUUGGAAACUGGGGAACUUGAGUGCAGAAGAGGAUAGUGGAAUUCCAAGUGUAGCGGUGAAAUGCGUAGAGAUUUGGAGGAACACCAGUGGCGAAGGCGACUAUCUGUCUGUAACUGACACUGAGGCGCGAAAGCGUGGGGAGCAAACAGG